CAGUCGAACGGACUCAUAUUGAAACCUAGUGAUUUAUGAGUUAGUGGCGGACGGGUGAGUAACGCGUGGAUAACCUGCCGUAUACCGGGGGAUAACACUUAGAAAUAGGUGCUAAUACCGCAUAAGCGCACGGCUCCGCAUGGGGCAGUGUGAAAAACUCCGGUGGUAUACGAUGGAUCCGCGUCUGAUUAGCUAGUUGGCGGGGUAACGGCCCACCAAGGCAGCGAUCAGUAGCCGGCCUGAGAGGGUGGACGGCCACAUUGGGACUGAGACACGGCCCAAACUCCUACGGGAGGCAGCAGUGGGGAAUAUUGCACAAUGGGGGAAACCCUGAUGCAGCGACGCCGCGUGAGUGAAGAAGUAUCUCGGUACGUAAAGCUCUAUCAGCAGGGAAGAAAAUGACGGUACCUGACUAAGAAGCCCCGGCUAACUACGUGCCAGCAGCCGCGGUAAUACGUAGGGGGCAAGCGUUAUCCGGAUUUACUGGGUGUAAAGGGAGCGUAGACGGCAGCACAAGUCUGGAGUGAAAUCCCGGGGCUUAACCCCGGAACUGCUUUGGAAACUGUGCGGCUGGAGUGCAGGAGGGGUAAGCGGAAUUCCUAGUGUAGCGGUGAAAUGCGUAGAUAUUAGGAGGAACACCGGUGGCGAAGGCGGCUUACUGGACUGUAACUGACGUUGAGGCUCGAAAGCGUGGGGAGCAAACAGGAUUAGAUACCCUGGUAGUCCACGCCG
rnacentral:rRNA from 1 species